GGGCAAUAUGGUAUAGCGUAUUGCUCCUAGGCUGCCAACCUGCACAGCAUGUUAUUGUACUGAACAAUGUAGGCAAUGUAACGCAAUGAUAUUUGUGUAUCUAAACAUACCUAAAUGCAGAAAUGCUGCAGUAGAUAUACAACAUAAAAGAUUGUUUUUAAGUCCACCUGUAGAAGGCACUUACCAUGAAUUGAACUUGCAGGCUUGGAAAUAUCUCUGGGUUCUGCUUGAAUUCUUGCCCUGGCUCUUGGUGAAGGAUCGGCCUGCUGGAUCUGAGUCAUCCACCUAUAAGAGGGACAACACCACACAUUGGUCGCUGCUCUCAAGCCCCUGGAAUACCACCCCACUUGGCUUCUCCUGGUAACAGUGGCUGCCUUUGCUUGCCUGUCUCCAACUCCUCCCAAGAGCAUUGCUGACUAUACCACCCACAUAAACAAAAACUUUUUGGGAGUCCUCCAGAAUUUUUAAGAGUUAUCUAAACUAUUGCCUUUAAUGACCAGGAACUCCAAUUUGAGAAGUUACCCUACGUUAAGCCAACAGCAGCCUGGCUCCUUCAUCCUGUGCAGUAUGGGACAGAGCUGGGUCCUUGUUGUCAUCAGCCAGACAAGCACACAUUAAAGCCCACCUUAGCCAUUGGCAUUACAGCUUUAAAAGCAGCUCCAUCCUACCAUGCUGUCACUCUACUCAAUCACGUGAUCUUAACGACCAGCUCUACAUAUCCUCUCUCCAUGCCCCCACCACCAUCCCCCACCAACAAAUCCGAUACAUUUGUUUUUUGUUGUUGUUGUUUUUGUUUCUGUUUGUUGUUUUUACUAUUUACUCUGAUGCUUGCCUGAAGAUUCUGCUAUCAGCUACAGGUCUGGGUUUGUGUCUCCGACAAAGAACCACCUCAAAGCCCCACAGAAAAGGACUGUACCGUAUACUUCAAACUAUUGACACCUCAAAGAACAGAGCUUGGGUUCAGGCUUCUGAUGCAUUCUGAGACACUCUCAGACCAUACCAGUGGGCUGGGUCAGGAUUUACAGAACUAUUUUCAUUUCAAGAGCAUACGGGCUCAUGAGAUUGCUAACUCAAGAUCCGGUGGAACAGAAAUACUUAUAUCGGACUGAAUAAACUGAUGAGGAAAAUCUUA
rnacentral:lncRNA from 1 species